AGAGUGAACGCUGGCGGCAUGCCUAACACAUGCAAGUCGAACGUUAACAGGCCCGCAAGGGUGCUGACGAGUGGCGGACGGGUGAGGAAUACAUCGGAAUUUGCCCAUGUCGUGGGGGAUAACGUAGGGAAACUUACGCUAAUACCGCAUACGACCUAACGGUGAAAGCGGGGGACUCGCAAGAG
rnacentral:rRNA from 1 species